rnacentral:rRNA from 1 species
AAACCGUUCAGGGGUAAACCUGAGAAACCCGAAAGUUCGAAAGGAGAGAUUCACCGCGACUCGUGUCGUCGGCGAGGACGCGUACGGACGUCGAGCGGAUUUCGGUCCGUUCGCGCCGAACGUGUUCCGUCGUGGCGUACGAUAGCGUGCACUUCUCUCCUAGUAGGACGUCGCGACCCGUUGGGCGUCGGUCUACGAUCGGCGGUGGAGUCCGAGAGGAGGCGUUCGCAAGUUCUCCGUCCUCUCGAACCCGUCGAAUCCGGCCGACACGCUCGACGGUGGACAAAAAGGGCGCGGGGCCGCGACCAGUUCGCGUCCGGCCCGUCGCAAGCAAGUCCGGUAAUCUGGUGCACUCGGCGUCCUCGCGUCGCCGGUCCCGGAUCCGGGCUACUGUUCGCGACGGUGUCCUCGGACAGACUCCGUAUACACGCCCGUCAGCGACGCUUUUGCUUUGGGUACUUUCAGGACCCGUCUUGAAACACGGACCAAGGAGUCUAGCAUGCACGCGAGUCUUAGGGACUCUUUAACUAAUCCUAAAGGCAAAAUGAAAGUAAAGGUCCGCCUUUGCGCGCGACCUAGGGAAGACGAGGAGCGAUUUAUCGCGACUCCGCAUUCCCGGGGCGUCUCGAUCUCAUCGCGAGAUGAGGCGCACCCAGAGCGUACACGCU